GGGAGCCUGAGAAACGGCUACCACAUCCAAGGAAGGCAGCAGGCGCGCAAAUUACCCAAUCCCGACACGGGGAGGUAGUGACAAUAAAUAACAAUACGGGGUUCUUUCGGAUCUCGUAAUUGGAAUGAGUACAAUUUAAAUCUCUUAACGAGGAACAAUUGGAGGGCAAGUCUGGUGCCAGCAGCCGCGGUAAUUCCAGCUCCAAUAGCGUAUANNNAAGUUGUUGCAGUUAAAAAGCUCGUAGUUGAAUUUCGGGAUCAAUAUUUCGGUCAUGCCGUUGGUAUGCACUGUUAUCAUUGAUUUCUCACCUUCUAAAGAACCGUAAUGCCAUUAAUUUGGUGUUACGGGGAAUUAGGACUGUUACCUUGAAAAAAUUAGAGUGUUUAAAGCAGGCUCACGCUUGAAUACAUUAGCAUGGAAUAAUGAAAUAGGACAUCCGAUUCUAUUUUGUUGGUUUCUAGGAUCGAUGUAAUGAUUAAUAGGGAUAGUUGGGGGCAUUAGUAUUCAAUUGUCAGAGGUGAAAUUCUUGGAUUUAUUGAAGACUAACUACUGCGAAAGCAUUUGCCAAGGAUGUUUUCAUUAAUCAAGAACGAAAGUUAGGGGAUCGAAGACGAUCAGAUACCGUCGUAGUCUUAACCAUAAACUAUGCCGACUAGGAAUCAGACGAUGUUAAUAUUUUAAUGACUCGUUUGGCACCUUACGGGAA
rnacentral:rRNA from 1 species